CCUACGGGUGGCUGCAGUGGGGAAUAUUGCGCAAUGGGCGAAAGCCUGACGCAGCGACGCCGCGUGAGGGAUGAAGGUCUUCGGAUCGUAAACCUCUGUCAGCAGGGAAGAACGGUCACUGUGCUAAUCAGCAGUGAAUUGACGGUACCUGCACAGGAAGCACCGGCUAACUCUGUGCCAGCAGCCGCGGUAAUACGGAGGGUGCGAGCGUUAAUCGGAAUUAUUGGGCGUAAAGCGCUCGUAGGCGGUUUGUCAAGUCAAGGGUGAAAUCCCCGUGCUCAACGUGGGAACUGCCUUUGAGACUAGCAAACUGGAGUGAGUGAGAGGAGAGUGGAAUUCCAGGUGUAGGAGUGAAAUCCGUAGAUAUCUGGAGGAACAUCAGUGGCGAAGGCGACUAACUGGGACAUAACUGACGCUGAGGGGCGAAAGCGUGGGUAGCAAACAGGAUUAGAUACCCUAGUAGUC
rnacentral:rRNA from 1 species